CUCCUCCCCAAGAACAUGGAAUUGGUCCAUGAUCACCAAAUGCAGCCCAGCUCUUGCUAGCUGCUGGGUUCUUAUCUCGGCCAGUCCAGACUUUAGCCCAACCCAGGAAGGAAUCAAACCAGAGAAGAGAGGAGUACUAGUUAGAGGUGGCCCAUCUGAUCAGGACAGAUGUAAAUGCUGCAGCAAACUGGAAGGCGUUGGUGGUUCCACUCUUUGCCAACCGGAUCCUUGCCAAGCGCACCUUCUACAAAAAGAAAAGGAAACAAAGGGCCAGGUGAUAAAAGGAAUCAUUGUUUCCCACUUUAUAGAGGGAGAAACUGAGGCUCUGAGAAAAUGUCAACAGAAAGACAGCUAAGACAAUCAUUGACCCCAAGUCUCCUGACCUGGAAAAUCAAGGAUGGUCAAAGCUUGGAUGUGAAGAUUAAAUCCAACUCCCCCAGUUUUACAGAUGGGCAAACUAAAGCUCAAAAAGAGAGAGAGUGGUAGAGCAUGUGCUUAGCAUGUGUGAGGGCCCUGGGUUGGAUCUCUAACACCACAAAGAAAAUAAAGAGAUCAUUCAUCUAAC